CACACACACACACACACACACACGGAGCGGGCACAUUGGGUGGUGUCUACUCAGUUGCCCUUUCCUCACUGUCUAGGUACUUCGACUCUGUGGACAUCUGCAAGGUACACUCAGAUUGGCAAGAGGCUCGGGUGCAGGGCUGCUUCCCGAGCACUGCCAGCGGGCCUGUGGGUGUGACAGCACUCACAGUGCUGGAGCGUGCCUCACUGGAGUUUGCCCUCUUCCAGGAGGGCAGCAGGCGCUCGGAUUCAGUAGACAGCCACCUCCUGGAUCUGUGCAUCCUAGUGUUCCGGGCCACUUUUGGCACUGGUGGCCGCCUGAGCCUGGGCCGCCUCUUGGCCCACAGCAAACGUGCUGUUAAGAAGUUUGUGAACUGUGAUGUCAUGCUGGAGCCUGGGGAGUAUGCUGUGGUGUGCUGUGCCUUCAACCACUGGAACCCUGCUCCACCAGGGCCCCCUGCCCAGGGUAAGGGCCCCAGCCAGAUGAGGCCCACACCCGCCUUCCCAUCCUCUGAGCCCCAAAGCCCACCCGCGGGAA
rnacentral:lncRNA from 1 species